GUAUGAAAUCCGGGAGAUGAUUCAGAAGAUCAAAAUCCUGCAAGAGAAGCGGGCGGAGAUCGAGGCGGAAGCGGCGUUCGCCAAACAGCAGGCGCCCAAACACUACGAGCACAACGGUGGCGUCAUCGGCGUUGCCAAGGAGACCAAUCAGGAACCAGGUCAAGGAAGCUGUCAAGCCCGACGGGACCUGCUCGGUUCGGGGAUGGACAUGGACCAGACGCGCCUCUCCCCGGUGCUGGUGGUCAACGAGCAGGAGCGACUGUCGGCGGCGGCGGCGGCGGCGGGGCGGCAGGAGUCGGGAGCGAUGGAGAUGCUGGCGCCGGGAUACGCGAGCGCCACCUCGCGGCGGCCCCCGAUGACGCCGGCGCAGUCGCUCUCCUACUCCUCGGCCUCGCCGCCCAACGGGCCGGCCCAGUCCUACGUGCGGCGCGACUGCGAGGGCGACGAGGACGAGGACGAGGAGGACUCGUUGCAGAACACGCCGCUCCUCUCGCACAGCGCCAGCAGCCCGGCCGCCGCCGCCUACGCCAACCCCUCCAAGUCCCGCCUCCAGAGGUCCUUCCUCUCCACCAUCCUCAACCACCGCGACUACGCCAACGACUCCGACACCAAUUCGCACUGCGCCCUUCUCAUCACUCAUGACGGCCUACCCGAUCCGGAGGAGGGGAACUCGGGCUCGGAGCGGAAGCGGAAGCAGGAGUCCUACCGCGGCUCCCACUCGGCCGGCAACGGGAACGGCAACGGGAAGAGCAGCGGGAGCAACGGCAACUCGUACGAGAUGAAGGAGAUGAGCCGGAGCCAGGUGUCCUCUCACUCGCACUCCCAGUCCCAGUCUCGCUCUCACUCCCACUCGCACGGCUCCUCGCAGGAGCUCUCGCCCGGGAGCCAGAUCUGA
rnacentral:lncRNA from 1 species